UCUCAGGGACAGUGGGCCAGGAGGCCUCGAACCUUUGCAGAAAACAGACUCCAUUCCCUCAGCAAUGAAAUUGAAUAAAUAGCAAUAAGAUCUCCAAUCCCUUAUGUUAUCACACUUGGCCAUAUCAUGUGCCUGUCCAUCCAUUUCUGCAUUCACUCCUCAUAACUCCCUGGCUAUCAUUCACACAAGAUGCUGAAGCAGAGGUCCAAAGAUGGGAAGGGGCCUUCCCAAGGCCGUACAGAGAAAAGCCAGUGGCAGGACUAGAUUAUUGGGACGUCUCUUUCCCAGCUAUGUGCUCCCUAGGAAAAUGGGUCAUGCUGGAUGACUCUACUAUAUUCUGCUGAACAUUCCUACCCCAGGUGCCUGAUUAGAACUGAGAAAAGCCCAUUGUGAGCAGCCCCGAUUCCCUCCAGUCUGACUCCAAUAUAGCUACAUGGUUACUGGUGGGGGGAUUAGUGGAGGACAUAGCUACCCCACUCUUAGAUCGUAGGAGCUGAAGCCAGCAAAAAAGAGCUAGAGAGCAGUGUGUGAACUCUGUGUACCAUAUUUGGCUGUCACUGCUGCAUACAUAUCUACUCACCCUUGCCCACCUUUGUGUGUUUGAGUGAAUUUCUUCUGGACUAUUGACAUAUAGAUCCCAAAUUUGCUCAUAUCGACAGACUCUAAGGUAGGAAAUCUCCAGUUUCAUAUGAGUUUAGUCAAAUCUAUUUUCCUUUAUGACCUCAGUUUCUCUUGUGAAAUGAACAUUUUGAAUUAGAUGGCCUGUGAGUUUCUGGCAUCCUACAAUUCUACAUGUGUAAACAUGUACGAUUGGUUGGGGACCCAAAGUAAGCCCUACUGUGAGGUGCUGUAUCAUACCUGGCUGGAGACUUCUGAGUCAUUGUCUCAACAAAGAUGUUUUUCCCAAAACAGAGCUUCCCGUGGUACAGAGUCCACUUGUUUCUUCAAAAUCCGCAGCAGUUGCUCAUUGCAAAACCAAGGCAGGGCAAAGCCUUCAGGAUGCGAAUGGGAACAAAAAGGAUGCAGGAAGGAACAAGAAAGCAAGAGGAGGAGAAAGAGAAAGGCAAAGUGAAGAAAAAAGUGGUGGGUGGAAGGGAUGCAGUGACAGGCUCAGGGACAGGAAAUGUCUUAGUAAAAGAUUUCCAGAGUUUUGUAAUCUGUUUCUUGUAUAAGGCAUACGGGCUUCAUUAAUAAGAAGGUGGGUGGGUGCCUUAGUUAUUUUUUCUCAUUGCUGGGACAAAAAUGCCCAACACUCACAAGUUAAGGGGAGAAAGGUUCAUUUAGCUAAGUUUGUAGAGGUUUCAGUCUAUCAGAUGGCUCCAAGGCAGGGUGGCACAGCAGACAGGCAUCGCAGAAGAGAAACAGUUCAUGGUGGGCAGAAGGUAGCAAAGCAAGCAGGUGGCGACCACAGCUCUUUCCUUCCAUUAUGUCUUAUCCAGGCUACUUAGGGUGAGUAGCACUCACACCAUGAAUCAAUCCUAGCAUCACAUUCUAGAUCCAGCCACCUGUGAAAAGCCCCAUGUAUGACUGCACGAGCCUUUAGGGGAACAUCUAGACACAAACCAUAACUCUGUGUGUGUGUUGCUGCAAGUAUUAAUCACAUUGGUGACAAGCAGAUGAAAUCGGCUGGGUGUGCCACAUGCAUAAUCUUUCCUCAAACUGGAACCCGUAUAUUCAUCCUUCAUGGGCUGAUAUCCAGGAACACUUGCCUCUCAUGCUUACCACUUAUUCUGGAUGAACCCCCAAAUUCUCUUACCCAACCCUAUCACUGAUUACUCCCUCUCUUAGAGGAGGAAGUGUUUUCUUCUCCCAGCCAAUUUCAGCCAAAGAAAAAUCUUAGUUCAGGUUCUUUGUGUUGCUCCACUUUCUUCUUUCUAGUUCUUUCCCCCAUCACACACAUAAGUCCUUCUAGUUUUCACCUUCACCCUUUCCUAGAGUAUCCUAGUCAUUCAGAAAUAACCUUUAAAAGGCGGGGUACUUGUGUCCCAAAGAGACCCAAAGACUUGCUGGAGGAAUAAUGUAAGGGAAAUCCUCUUCUAGAUCCUCAACAUCCACAAACACUAGUAUGCUCAGGCCUGUCAGACAAAGUGGUGUCUAUGUGCAAGUAAGGCAGGGGAACACUGAGGGAGCAUUACUGCCAGAGAUAAAGUAAUGGAAGACUGUGCUGUAAUCGGAAUCAGAGGCCGCUGUGCCCUCAGAGAUGUUGGGAGACAUGGUCACAGAGCUCAAAAGACUGGAAGCCAGCAGAAGAUAAACCUGUGGCCAGCCGACCUUAGGUCCCACCUCCCCAUGUCUGUGCCAUUGCAUAGUCCUCUCCCUUUGGGAAUGUGAGCACCUAUGGCCAGCCCUAACCAAAGGAACAUGGCAAAAGUCACUUCACAAGCCACUCUGGUACACAAGGCUUUGGAAGGACCAGUCCUUGGGUCUCCCUUUCUCUCACCUCCACUGUCAGGGAAAUUGCAGGGAGUUUCUAGGAGCCCAGGCUAGUCUCAGACUUGCAAUGCUUGGAAAGAGAUUCUGCUAGCAAUCCCUGUGAAUCCAGGGGCUCCUUCCCAUUGAUCCCCUGAGGAGAUCACAGGCCUGACUGGUGUUCUGCCCACAGCUAGCAGAGAACCAAGCUCUUCUGUGCCCCAACUUCUGACUCACAGAAACUGAGAGUGUAGAUGGGAGUCGUUUAAGUCACUAAGUUCAUGGCAUCUGUUACACAGCAGUACAAAACUUAAGCAGCUGGAGAUGGUGGGGAGGCUGGGCUGAGGAGCACAGGUUUUAUCACAUAGGCCACCAGGAACCAGGCUUGCUCUCAGCAAGGAAAAGCCACAGAAGUAAGUUUGGGGACAGUCACUCUGACCGCAGGGCAGGAGGAAACUCGAGAACAAGGUGGAAGCCUUUUAUCUUCCAGGAAGUCAGGGAUACACCAGUGAGCACGAGGCCUCAGACCCAGCAAAGCCAUUCAACCUGUAUUUACUGACUAUUUACAGGGUGUGGUGUUCAGGGGAGAGGAAUACGGGGAGAAUGACCCAGCAUGUUCCCUGCCUUCUGAAAUGUUAGGGUAGGUUCAGAAAUGUGUAUUUAAGCAGGCAAAACUUGGUUGGUUGGCUCUGUUUCUUUUCCAUUUGACAGUGUAGGACACUGCCCAGAAGGGAUGGAUCGAAGCCUCUUCCUGGGGGGCAGAGGGCUCCUGCGUGGGGUAACGCUGAGGUCCAUCCUGAAGGAUGAGCCAGGACUGCACAGGCAGGGGUAGGAUUUCAUGGCCCUCCAAUGAUUGCUUGGUGUGAGAGAAAACUCGAGUUGGUUAGAAAGCGAGCCUAGAGCUGGGAAUCUUGGAAAAAGAGCUCUUUUUCCCUUCUCAUCUGCCUGGAGUGCUGAGUACUUCCGUGAUCUGUUAAAGAAGGAUCCACAGGAGAGCUGAGGUGCACUGGUUAUGAAGGAGAGAAGGACUUAACUGAGUUACCAGGAUGACUUAGAUAAGGACGAAGCUGCAGAGAGAACCUUUGUUUGGGGAGCACCCAAGAGCCAAGAAUGUGGCAGAGAGUUAGGGAGGGGGGUGUAGAGAAGACCAUCUGCUGUUAGAGAGUAUCGAGAAAUUGGAAAGUUAUUUUGGGACCAAAUGUGUACCUCAAAAGACAUGAUCAAUUCCAUUCUAACCCUGAUGUUUUUGGCCCACCCAGGAUCCCAGUACUGCCUAUUUAUCUCCUUUGAAUCGCUUCCUGUUAUUUGGGAUAAAAUCCACGCCCCCCCCCCAUCAUCAUACACAAGGCACCACCCCUUCCAGCCUCUGCUCCCCUCUUUGUCCCCCCUGUUCUCCCCCUCUCCCCCCGCCCUUCCCCCAAUUUACACCCCCAGGCUCCCAGUGUUCUGGCCUCUUUCUCAGUUCACUCAGUUUCUUCUGUCCCUGGGUCUUUUCCAUACAUUAGGCUUGGGGGGGGACACAGGCAGGUGAGGGCACAUUCCAGGCAGAACUCCUUGACCUCACCCCAGUUUGAGCUCCCCUCCUUCGCCUGCUCCCAACCUGAAUCCUGUCCUUUCUCUUUCAAAUAAAGCAUUGAUCCUACUGUACCUCUUGGAUGUCCUGCUGAAUUCUUUGUUUGGGACAAGACCCCAGGCCAGCAAUUCACCCUCUGUUGAAGUAGAACCCAGGGUAGAUGGCAGGGUAACGAUGUAACACUGGUGCCUCUGCCACUGACACAAGUGGACACCGCUAACUGAGAGCAAGGAAAAUACUCCAGCCAGCCCUCAGGACAAGGCGGGCAUCGUCACAGCGGGGCUGAACUGCACCCACUUCCAGCAACUCAUGACUCUCAAAAACGCAGCAUUGGAAGCAGGAAGAACUGGCUUGGCGUCCCUCUCUCCAGAGCCACUUUUUCUGCGGCACUGCUCCAGCACUCCUGGUAAGGAUGGGUGGAAACUGCAGAAAGCAAGAUCCAGCCAGCUGUUGGCCCUCCCUGCACCGCCCAGAGCAUCCCUCUCCUGUCCCAUGGGCCUAUCUGAUGGAAAGUUGGCCCAUCUUUGCCACAGUAAGUAAAAACCAGCACCCGGACAGCUGCAGGAGGAAGCACCUGCCUGGAGACCCCACCUGGGCUGCCAAGGCCCCGGACCCCACGAGAAAUGAAGACCCAGGAGGCUGUGCCAUAGGCUGUGCUGGAGCCCUGGCCCUGUGCAUUACGGAACUGUAGCCAGCCAGCUUGUGGGACAGGGUGACACCUUUCUAUCCCUGGACAUCAGAUGCCAAGAGCAGGUGCUCAUCACGGUCUAAGAAAAAGAGUUAAAAGUUGUCCAAGAAUCACCUGAUUGGGGAAUUCACUGAGGGUUACUCUAAUGUCCAGCCAAAGCCAGCAGUGACUGACACUUCAUAGUUUCCAGUGGGCUCAGUCCAUGGCCUGCUGGCUCCAAGGCAGAGACAACAUGGUGGAAGGGCUUGGUGGAGGAAAAUUGCUCAUGGUGGCCAGGAAACAGACAGGAGGAGCCUGAGAUGUGAACAUACCCUUCCACCUCACAACCCAAUGACUCACCCCUUCCUACCAGACCCCACCUCCAAAAGUGAGGCUUUUGGGGACAUCUUAGAUGUAAACUAUAACAACCUGGGACCUCAUGGCUGGAGAGUGUCCCCGUUCUUAGGGAACCAAGACAUGUCACCCAAGGUUGGGGCAGUCUGGAGACUCGGGACUCUUUCCCCACGUUCAGAUCCACCCCUUCAUCCCAUCCACAGUGUCCCUGUCAACCACCAAGACCAAUGGUGGGUUCUGAGAAGAAGGUGAUGGAGGUGUGACCUGAUUUCUCAGUGGCUGUUGGGGUUGAGAGACAGGGAGAGCCAUGAGGAGACCGCUAGGGCGACUCGUGGGAUGGAACAGUGGGGAUUGUGAGAAGUCUUACUUGGGUGCUCAUUUAAGGCAGGGCCAACAGGCUGUCCUGGCAGACUGGACCUGGAGGGUGAGAGGAAGGAGAAAGCCAGUGCAGUUCCAAUGGAUUUGUCGCACCUUGGAGAAGGCAGCUGCUGUUGGAAGAGAACCCCCCCCCGCCUUGAAGUGGGAGGGACUGAACCAAGAAUGUGUCCACCAGCAAGGCCAUCUUCUGCCUCUGCUCUAUCCUCCCAGGCUUCGGGUCUCUCUGUUCAAUAAGGGAAAUAAGACCCAACUGAUUGCUUACGGAAACACCAGACCUUAUUACAAAUGAACACUUUCCCCAGAGCUCUCAUGUCCGGAAGUCAGACACGUUUACUCUGGGGCAGCUGCCAACAUAUCUUUGGAAUCCUUUUCUAGGGAUUGAGUUGAUUUAUGGCCCAUCCAAGAAAAAUCAGUCUUAUCGUUUCUCUCCAGAAGGUCAGUUGAAACAUUUACUGUGUAAAUCAGACCUGACUCUUCCAAACAUUGAAACUUUUUUCCCCAGGAUGACCAUCUGCCACCAUGCAGAAUAAGCAAAUCUCCAGCUGUGGCCAUCUCAUUGGAAAACCAACUAUGAUUCCAGGCAGGAUGAAUUUUCCUCUGUACUCCAGCACCCACGGGUGGCAGGUGAGGACCCUUGCUCUCCUGAGCUCCAGCUCCCCUGCCCUUGACACUGGGCGUAGAGGCAGAGUGAGGGCUUCGUGACAGCCCAGCACUCACCUGGCUAGAAAAGACCGUAUGAUCUGGCUUUAAAACAGUGUCACUUUGUCAUUUAUGAUCCACAAGGCUUUCUCUUAGCAUCUCUUUCAUCAUUCUAGAGGUGAGAAAACCCUCUGAACCCAGUUUGCUCAUUCGUGAAAGGUGGCCAAUGACGAUUGUAUCCUUCUCCCAGGACAGUUUGGAAGAGGAACACACUACUGCCAACAAAGAACCUCACACACUGUGCAGGCAGCUCUUGAGCGACCUGGACACAUUGCUGUCCUCCACCCUCACGUGGGAUCAUGGUCACUAGACCACGGCGCACCUUUUGCUUUUCCUGGAGGAACACACUUUCUGGCUCCAGCUGAUACUGUGCUGUCUUCCUCACCCUCGUCUGGUUUUCCCCAGAUCCCCUCUGAGCACCUCUGUAGCUUGGAUGGUUGUGGGGUUGGGUGGCCACCUUGCCAUGUCUCCCCUCCUCUGAGGGCAGGCAGGUGGCCCUCCUGCCCAAGCCAGCACCCCAAAUUAUCAGCCACCUCUGUUUCCUCCACAUCUGCCAAGCAGUUGUCAGCUGCUGCCUGGAUUUUUCUCCACGGAACAGCACAGACUUUGCAGCACAAGGUGGGACCCUGGGCUGGCCCUACACGAGGGGCCAUGAGACCUGUCCGUCAAGCCUCAGAGUCCUCCCUCUCCAUCGAGUUUUCCAUUGACCUGAGAAAUGGCCAUCGGCUGCUGCCGGGGGACUUUUCUUCCUUCAAGAGAAUUUUAGAGACAUUUUAACACGGGGGCUUCUGAAAUCCAUGAUUCAUGCUUAAAAUCUGAUUCACUAGUAGAUCAGUUGUGUGAAAUGAGUUUGGGCCAAAAUGUCUUCUAGAAGGACACACGCAUGCAUGCAUACACACAUAGAUUAAAGAAUCGCCUUCCAUUCGCUCCUUGGAAUACAAGUUAGGGUGGACCCUCAAGACAGCUUGAGGAUCUCCUCCAUCCCCUUCUUUCCUUCCUUCCCCUCCUCCCCUAACCCUUAAAGAAGAUCCACAUACCCCAGUUGAUCUGCUCAUUGUCCAAAUUAGAUGAGAAAAUGGAUUUAAAAGUUCCUUGCUCUGUGCCGGUCCCUAAUAGUCACUUUAUUAAUGAUUGGUUAAUUGUUUUCCAUCCCUCACAUCUGCACACCAAAACACCGAAGGUGGAAUCUCUGGGCCGUGAAUGUCCUUGUUGUACAUAUCCUUCAUCCCAUCUCGGCCCAGCUGCAACAGCCCAGCCGUGCCUGUCUUUGUUUCUGAGUCUCUGGACUUUGUAGAAACUUCCAACCCCUCGACUUGACAAAUGACUUUCUAAGUGGAGGGGGUUUUACAUUUAAUAUGCAUCAUGAGAAACAUCAGAGCUAUGCUCAGGAGAUCAAAUGGUUUCUUCAGCUAAGAAUGUAAGCAUUAUCCCUAUUAAUAUCUUUCCAACAAAGGCCCAGGCUCCCCACCCCCGACAACUCUAUGAUCUCAGUUUAUUAACAUUGCCAGUCUCCCCCACUUGCUGCCCCUGCUGCAGACUGGGUCACAGUCUAAGGUCCACCCUCCACACACACACUGCCUUGGCAGGGCUGCACAGGGGAAAAAACUCUCUGUCAUCAUAAAUCAUAAAAUCAAACAACCAAACGCCAUCUCCGGGGAAAUAAAUUCUGAAGAGCUAAGGAGGGAAAAGGGGGGGCUAUGAUUAUUUUAAUCCUAUUCCAGAUGCUCUGGUCUGCUCCCUAAACAAAACCUGAAUUAAUUGCAAGCCUUAGUCAAAGAGAUAAUAGCUGCAUGCGGGUGUAGGCAAUGUUGGGCAAGGAAUAGUUGCUCAGUUAAUGUUUAUGUAAAAAUAAAUGAGUGUAAAUGCACAAGAGUUCUGUGGACGCCGCCUUUGCCAGACAAGAUGGCUCAUUGUGACAGAGUUCCCCACAGCGUCCCUACCCAGUGACCUGGGUGCUCUGCUUUUCAAAAGCACCUUCAUACUUACUAGCUAGUUUGACUCGAGCAGCAAUCGAAGCUUGCACUUGGCCUUGGGAGAAUGCACUUCUGUAAAAGCCUCAAAGAGUGGACUGAGGUGACACUUGCACGCAGAAGCGUGCACACACACACACAUGCACGCGUGGAGGAAAAGCUGUUCUCAUAAGAAUUUUGAACCAUUGAAAGAUGUCAAAACCUCUGUGAGUACACAAAGGCAUACUGAUUCUUUACCAAAACCGGAAUGAAUUAAAAUCACUUACACUCUUCUUUACCACCCCUCAAAAGUGUCGUCGAGGAUGGACACUUUGGCUCCAAAGGGCAAAAGGGCCACAGAAGCGCCCUGGUGUUCAGCCACCCAAUCCUGAAACCAAUGACAAAAUGAAGGGCUCCCUGGGCCUCCUCUUAUGCAUUACAAGAUGGGAAGGAGAUGCCUGGCGCUACCCUACAUGCCAGGAUUCUUGGGUGAAUAAAAGCAGACAAGGUAAAAAAGAUCUCAGAAGAGCAGAAAUGGAAGAACAGUAGGGGAAGGACAGACAGCAUGGGGUGAGCCAGGGUGCUUGGUGCCAAAAUGGCACCAGGUGACAGGAGUAACAACACCCAGGUCGUCUUGGUUCUGGUUUGUGGUCCCAGACGGCUUGCUGCAGGAUCGGGCAUUCUGUGGGGCCAGAGCCUAGGCUAUCUGGAAGACCCCAGAGCUGGGAGGCCACCAGCUGAGUGACCUGGAGCUGACCCGUGUCUCCCAGCUCCUCCACUCCCUUCCGGGUCCAGGGCUCACACCUUUGCCUCCUGGAGGCCACGUAAGAAGCAGGCAGGUGCUGGGGCCUGGCACACAGAGAGGCUGCCCAGAUGUGGCCUUCACUCCCAAGACCCUCUGGGGGCAGGGGCUUCCUCACUGUUUCCAGUCUGCUCUUUUCUCAAAUUCUGCUUCAUCGCUCCGGGUUUCCUCCCACAGCCCUCUCUCUCUGUGGCCCAGCCCGGCCCGCCAGGAGCCUUGGAAAGUCGCGUUGUGCAGAGAAGCAGAUGGCUCUGCCUCCUCCUCCAUCCCCUGCUAAGUGGAUCUGGUGCCCUGAGGACUGCAGCCCUGGGGGAUGGCAGGGAGGGCACCUGGCCCACACACCUGCUCUGGAUCCUGAGGUCCACCAGCUGCUUCCCACUCAAAAGCAAGAAGCCAGUCCUGGGGCCUGGCCUCUACUGCAGCACUGCAUGCCACAUGUGCAUCCCUUGCUACCUUACUUAUUCAGUGGCAUCUGACAAGAAACUGCUACACCAAUCACCAAGCGCUAUGCCUACAUCAGAGGGGUCUCUGGAACUCUGCUGUCCAACAGGUCACUUCUAGACACAUGCAACUACACAAAUGUACAUGAGUCCGAUUAAAUUUAAGAUUCAGUUUCUGGCCAGGUGUGAUGGUGCAUGCCUAUAAUCUCAGCGCUCUGGGAGGCUGAGCCAGGAGGAUUGUAAAAGCCCAGCCAACUUAAUGAUUUAGCAAGACCCUGUCUCAAAAUUUGAGACAAAAAAUUUUACAGAUACAGGGCUGUAGCUCAAUGCAAAGGCCCUGGAUUCAAUGCCUAGUACUAGAGAAAAAAAGCUGUCAGUGAUAGUAGCCAUGUCUCAGGUGCUAAGGAGUCACCUGUGGCUGCUACAAAUAAGGGCCACGUCUGUCACCAGAGGAAGUCCUGCUGCACAGACUGCCUGUUAGGUGACCCUAGCAGGAAAGGUUGA
ensembl:lncRNA